rnacentral:lncRNA from 1 species
AUGCUGGACAACUACGCCCUCCUGGCCACCCUGGCAGCCACUCCGGCCCGCAAACCUGCCCUUAUCGCCCGGCUGGAGUGCGGUGCAGCUCCGUGGGGUGAUGAGGCCCCCGGGAGCGGCCAGCCCGGGGCUGGGAGCUGGGUCGGGAAGGAGGAGCCAGAUCUGAAGCCUGAGGCUGUGGUGGAGACGCCAGGGGAGCGCCUCAGCAGCACCGCCCCGAGCGUGGGCUCUGCAGGCCAGGCUGCCGGGCCGACCGCCAGUGUGAACCCGAGCCUGAUCCUGCGCGGCGGCAUGAAGUUCUAUGGGUGCGGAGAGUGUGGGAAGAUCUUCCGGUACAACUCCAAGCUGCUGCGGCACCAGGUCUGUCGCAGCCGCACGCACGCAGGUGUGGACAGCAGGACCCAGGGCGUUCAAGCACGAAUUUGCUGCACAACUGUGGGCUCCAACAGAGCUCAGUGCUGGGCAUGGCCAAGGUCACCAGGACCCAGCCUUGGUGCCAGAUGUGCCGUGGGCCCCAGCGGUGCUGCAGAAGACACAGCCACCUAGAUCAGAUCUGAAGACCCAACCCACCUGGCCGGGCGAUGGAGUAGCGCCGUGUCUGUCUGUGGAUGCGUGGGGCAGCGCGGCUCUCUGGGAGUGCUGAGGCCUGGCUCGGUUCUGCCCUUGGAUGAAGCUGUGGCUGAGCGCAGAGUUAGAGAGCUUUCUGGCCAGAAGUCUCCUCUGCUCCACUCUGCAACGGACACCUGGGGCUUUAUUGACACAAGGGUGUCCUUUGCCGGGGCGGCUUUCCGCAGCUGUGGAGAGGUGAAUGGCCUCUCCCGCUGUGGCGUUUGGGGACGGCACUGACACUUGGCCCUCCCAGCCCUGGCUGUGGCUUUCUGCGGGCAGCCUCCUCUCCAGCCCCUGGUUCUCCCAGUGAGCAGCAGCUCACUGCACAGAGUGGGUUUUCCUGCUGUUCCUUUUCAGGCUAACACAUUAAUAUUACCCCAUAGUUACUGCGGACUGAUCAGCUCCGAAAUCUCCCAAACAAGUGGAUGGUGAAGGCUUAAAUAAGUGAGACAGGUGGUAUGACUUUAGGGCUCCAGGAGGAUCAAAACCCUCUCACAGAAUUCAAGGUUCUUGGGCAGGGAUAUAGCUCAGGGGCACAGCGCCUGCCUGGCAGAUGCAAGUUCCGGAGUUCAGUUCCCAGUACCAAUAAAAAAAAAAGAUUUCGAUAUUCUCUGGGGGCUAAGACAAAGAUAUUUUCUGGGCAACCCUUUUUAUUUAGUUACUGAACAGGAGGGGAAUUCUGAAGAAAGGCAGGAAUCUGAGCAGGGCCAUUCAAGGACCUUGGAAAUCUACCCAAGGGCUUCUCCAAGUAAGACA